UACAGAGGGGGCAAGCGUUGUUCGGAAUUACUGGGCGUAAAGGGCGCGUAGGCGGCCUGCUAAGUCGAACGUGAAAUCCCUGGGCUCAACCCAGGAACUGCGUCCGAUACUGGUUGGCUUGAAUCCGGGAGAGGGAUGUGGAAUUCCAGGUGUAGCGGUGAAAUGCGUAGAUAUCAGGAGGAACACCGGUGGCGAAGGCGGGUCUCUGGGCCGAUACUGACGCUGAGGCGCGAAAGCUAGGGGAGCAAACGGG
rnacentral:rRNA from 1 species